GUGUCGUGAUUUUGUGUUUUUUUUGUUUCCCUCUUCUUCCUUUUCUUCUUUCUUUCUUUUCGUUCUUUCGCAAAAGAAAAGAGAAAGUGAUCUCGGAGAUCUGAGAGUUGAGAAGAGAAGAAUGAAGCGCUCCUCCUCUUCAUUCU
rnacentral:ribozyme from 1 species